UAUGUAGGGUGCGAGCGUUGUCCGGAAUUAUUGGGCGUAAAGAGCUCGUAGGCGGUGUGUCGCGUCGGCCGUGAAAACCUGCAGCUUAACUGUGGGCUUGCGGUCGAUACGGGCAUCACUGGAGUUCGGCAGGGGAGACUGGAAUUCCUGGUGUAGCGGUGAAAUGCGCAGAUAUCAGGAGGAACACCAAUUGCGAAGGCAGCUCGCUGG
rnacentral:rRNA from 1 species